AGUUGUGGAGAGACGUAGAGGAGUUGAGUUCGUGUGUGUAGGGAGGCAGACAGCUCCGACGCAGACUACGGACCUCUCCAGGUCUCAGCCGUCAAAGACCCUGUCCGGUAGGUGAGUGGCUCGCUUUGAGGGCAAGGCUUCUCGGAUCGAGGCUUCUUCAUGGCCGCUCGGGUCGCGAGCGGCCGGGGCUUCGCUCUUUGCGGAGGACGGCGUCUAACAGAGCGCAGUUGAUUGAGGUGGGCGCUGGGGCACGUCUCCCUUUUGGUGUUGCUUGAGGGGACACAAGGCGGAAGGGCGGGCGUGGGGGAGGGCGUUUAUAGAGGGAAGCAGCGCGCCCCUCCCCGCCACCCUUAGGUGGUUCUUAUCCGGUCCUUAUGCUUGUACGCUGGUAUCCGGCCUUGCCCGAGGCUGCAGUUCCUUAUUGGCCUGCAGGCUCGGCGCCCAGGGCCCGGUUUGCCCGCGGCUGAGGGGGGAGCUCGGCUCGCUCGCUCCUCCCCCGCCGCAGACUCGGCCGUCGCCAUUUUGUGCUGCGAACGCGCCCGUCGCCGACUGCGCAAGCUCGGUUGUGGCGUCGCGAGAUUCCGGCUUGUGACGCUCGGGGAGGCCGGGACGCGGGCGCGGCCGGCUGCCAUUGGACAAGGCCUUGCAGAGGGCGGGGUCGGCUUCACCCGUAUUUCUCCGCCUUUCCUUAACUGCGGCAGAUGGGAGGGGGCCCGGGAGCCGGGAACGGAGCGCGGCUGCGCAGUGUAGAAAGGAAACACUAGCCGGGGAUCAUGAGUGGCUGUCGAGUGUUCAUUGGGAGACUAAAUCCCGCAGCGAGGGAGAAAGAUGUGGAAAGAUUCUUCAAGGGUUACGGACGGAUCAGAGAUAUUGAUUUGAAAAGAGGUUUUGGUUUUGUGGAAUUUGAGGACCCAAGGGAUGCAGAUGACGCUGUUUAUGAACUUGAUGGGAAGGAACUUUGCAGUGAAAGGGUUACUAUUGAACAUGCUCGGGCUCGGUCUCGAGGUGGAAGAGGUAGAGGACGAUACUCCGACCGUUUUAGCAGUCGCAGACCUCGAAAUGAUAGACGAAAUGCUCCACCUGUAAGAACAGAAAAUCGACUUAUAGUUGAGAAUUUAUCCUCAAGAGUCAGCUGGCAGCCUAUCUGUGUCGUUGGCCUUAUGACGAGGAGUGCCUGUGGGUUAUCCUAAUCGUUGUCUUGGUCACUCUUGGUUGGGCCUGGUUGACUUUGCCAGUCAGCUCCUACAGUGAUCAGUUGGCCACCUCUAGAUCUGUGUUUGCCGGUCUAGACGUAAUCGGUGCACUUACUUGAAGUGCCGGGUUGCAGCGAUCCCAGAACGUUGAUAACGUGAUCUGAUCCCUAAGUUGAGAGCUGUCUUCCUGUAACGCUUCCGAAUAAGAGGUCCUGGUCGAAAGAGUUGAAAGAUACGAAAUUAGUUGGUCGUUGGA
rnacentral:lncRNA from 1 species